rnacentral:lncRNA from 1 species
CUUGCGUGUCACCUGCCUGGGUCUGGCAGAAGGAGGCUCAAUUGAUUGGGUCGCCUUGGCAGUAAAUCUGGCCCAGUUGUUUCCACCUGAGAAAUCUGGAAAGAAUGCAAUGAAAAUGUCGGACUUCUCAAAGUUGCAGGACAAAUGAAGAACCGAAGAAUUUUCACUGAAGAGGGAAGAGCCCAAACACAAUCUGGUGUUUGAACAGAUGUCAGUGUUACAGCCAUCAACGUACCUAAACUUUACAAAGCAUCUGGCAGAAAGAGAAGCACUGAAAUUGUCAGAGGAUCUACUCACUACAUGGAGAAGUUUUUCCAAAGAAGACCCGCGGAAGUGAGCAAAGAAGAACAAAAACAAAAACAAGGCUCACAAUGGACACAGCAUGGUCACUGUCAUUUGUACAAGUUCCAGGCACAGUAUAAAGCCACAGAGUGA